rnacentral:rRNA from 1 species
CCUUUGCCCUUUUUCAAUUGCGUAGGAAAAGGAAACUAACAAGGAUUCCCUUAGUAACGGCGAGUGAAGCGGGAAGAGCUCAAAUUUGAAAUCUUCAAGGUUUUACCUUGACGAAUUGUAGUUUAAAGAAGUGUUUUCUGUUGAAGUUUUGGUAAAAGUUCUUUGGAAUAGGACAUCAUAGAGGGUGAGAAUCCCGUAUUUGACCAUUAUUUUCAGCUGUGUGAUACACUUUCAAAGAGUCGGAUUGUUUGGGAAUGCAGUCCAAAAUGGGUGGUAAAUUUCAUCUAAAGCUAAAUAUUGGCGAGAGACCGAUAGCGAACAAGUACCGUGAGGGAAAGAUGAAAAGAACUUUGAAAAGAGAGUUAAACAGUACGUGAAAUUGUCAAAAGGGAAGCGUUUGACACCAGUGUUGUUUUCUCGAAAAUCAAUUAAAAAAAGUUGGAUUUUGUGUUGUAUUGACCUUAACAGCUUGCUUCACUCUUUUCCUGCUUUUUUUAAUGCACUUUUCGUUUAACAAGUCAACAUCAGUUUCUUUUGUUGUAAAAGGGUCAUUGGAAGGUGGCUUUCUCUUCGGAGAAAGUGUUUAUAGCCUUUGAUCUCUGCAAUCGGAGAGACUGAGGUCUGCAGCGUAGAUCCUUCGGGGUUAGAUACAUUUGUGCUAAGCUACAGCUUUUCAUAGA